AUUAACAGGGGACCAGGCAGUUCAGUUUCCCAUUCGCUCCCCCCAGUCCCCGACCCUCUGGCUCUCAUCUCACCUCCGUCCGUCCCCAAGCUCGCUCCCUUCGUCUCCCAUCUCCCGGAUCAUCUCUGGCCCCAAGCUCCCUCCCAUUCGAAGUCAACUGUGCUCAGUUUUAACCAUGGCUGCGGAUAUUUGGACCCUAAAUCUUGUAUGCGAGGGGGCAGCUCCAGGACAGGAAAAUGUACAAAGGAAAAUGGACAGAGAUGUGAUAUGCUUCUUCAACUUGAUUGAGCUGAUCGAGGAAUAUGGGUACACAUCAAUCGACUAUCUAUACUACAAGAAAAGAGAUGGUUUGGUUGCACUACAAUGGGAUACGGAUGUGAUGAAAAUGCUUGAAGAGAAUGAGAGCGAGAAGAAUGUUAGCUUGUUUGUGACAAGACAGAGAAUAGCCACCAUAGCACCAACCAAGUCCAACAAAGAACCAUCCAAAUCUGCAGCGAAAAAAGCUAAAGAGAAAAGUGGUAGAAAGAAAAAGCAACAGCUGAAUGUAAUUCAAUCCAAAGAACAAUAUGCCGAUGAGGUUGACCACCAGCAUGAUGAUGAUGACAUCCAAGAAACAUCAGGUGAUGACAAUAAAGUAACCAAGCGAAAGGGAACAGUUUUGGCGCAUGUUUGGGACUUACCAGAGGAAAACCGAAUAUUAGUGAAAUGUAACCAGCUUGGGCAACCUAUUGGGAAAGAAGGUGGUCUGUUAGGGCAAUUUUUAGGCACCAUAUCACGAAAUUGUGGUUAUUGUCCUUUACGUAUCAAAGAUUGGAGAAAAGUAAAGAAUGAUAAAUCUGAAACCAUACUUCAGUGCAUUCAGACCAAGUUCUUGUAUCCACGCUCAUGUGAGAAGUGGAUGCUAAAGUCGAUCGGUAGAGAUUGGAGAAAGUACAAGGCAACACUAAAAAGUAAGCUAUAUAAUCCAAAGAAGAAAAGGUCAGCUUUGUACAAGCUCUGUCCAGAUGAUAUUGAUGAAGAUCAAUGGAAAGCACUAGUAAAAUAUUGGAAGUCAGCAGAAGGAAAAGCCCUUAGUGAGAGGAACAAAGUAAGUCGUGAAAUGAAGAAGACAACACAUACAGCGGGUACAAAGAGUUAUGCGCGUUGGUCAGAGGACUUGAGACAAGCUGAUCCUGAAAAAAAGAAACCACAUAUAGCAACAGCUUACUUAGCAACUCACAGGAAAAGGGCGAAGGAAGCAAAUCAGCUUGCGGUUCAGUUGGAAAAUCUGAUUGAAAAACAACCAGAAUUAGCACAGGAUAGUGAGGGGAGAGUUGCAUGGGAAGGAGAUGCACUACAUCAAGUCUUGGGAGAGGAGAAACCUGGACAAGUACAUGGAAUGGGAUUGCUUCCGAUUCCUAAACAAGUUUAAGGCAGAACAACAAGCCGUUUCAAGGAUAUUAAUAUAGCUGCACUACAUAGUUCGUCAUCUGAUGUAGAGACUCAUAUGUUGGAGGAAAUAAAGCAACUCAAGGAGCGUUCAAGAAGACAAGAAAAAGUUAUUGAUGAACUUAUAAACAACAAAAUGCACCAUGAGAGUGAAGAACGAACAAAGAUUGACCAUGACAAAAUUCAGAAUCAUGUAGUGUCUUCCAACAGAAAGAGAGUUCAAUGUGCUAAACCAAACAAUCUAGAUAUUCUCUGUCAACAGAGGGAUGAAUUGUGUCAAGGUGAUGCAAAUUACAUAGAGUUCUCAGAUCAGGAAGCACAACAAUCAUCCCCACAAUGCUCUACUAAUCAUUUUAGACAAAAGGAGGUUGGUGUGCGUACACAUCCAUCAAGUGAUGCUAGAAUAAAUAGGAAAAGAAAGAUAUCAAGGAGCACUCCAAGAUAAUGCUAUAGGACAGAAGUGUUCCAAAUAUACACGACCUCAGCAAAUUAAGGAUGGAACCACAGUGGUACUUAAGUCUGCAAGUUAUCCAAAUAAGGAAAUUGUGGCCUAUGCAAACAUUUUGAGCUCUAAUCCGAAAGAAACUGUUGGUGGAGUUGAGAUAGGAAAACAAUUCUACAAAGUGCGUAUCAAUCAUCCUGUUAUACAAGAUGAGCCAUUAGUAAGGCCCACAAGUGGAUGCAAGAAAAUUAGUGAUGCCCAUGCCAAAAGAGCACCGAAUGCCCAUGCCAAAAGAGCACCGAUUGCUUGGCCUUUGAUUUGUGUUGAAAUGAUCAAUGGAUGAAUAUAUGUACUUGAAUAUGCACACACGCAUGGACCAUGAAGACAAGAAUUUCUAGAAUAUUGCUUAUUUUUUUUAUUGCAUUUCAUUUCAUGUAGCGCAGAUUUGUAAACAUUUGCUCUUCUUUAUCAUAUUAUUGUGUAAAUAUACUUUGCAUUAUUUGAACAAAGACUAUGUUACAUUCCUACAAUCAAUGCAACUUUCUAUGACUACUGAGAUC